rnacentral:rRNA from 1 species
UAAGGAAUAUUGGACAAUGGACGCAAGUCUGAUCCAGCCAUGCCGCGUGAAGGAUGAAUGCCCUCUGGGUUGUAAACUUCUUUUAUAGGGGAAGAAAGAUACUUUUUUUAAGGUAGUUGACGGUACCCUAUGAAUAAGCACCGGCUAACUCCGUGCCAGCAGCCGCGGUAAUACGGAGGGUGCAAGCGUUAUCCGGAUUUACUGGGUUUAAAGGGUGCGUAGGCGGGCAUGUAAGUCAGUGGUGAAAUACCGGAGCUUAACUUCGGAACUGCCAUUGAUACUAUAUGUCUUGAAUAUUGUGGAGGUUAGCGUAAUAGGUCAUGUGGCGGUGAAAUGCUUAGAUAUGACAUAGAACACCAAUAGAGAAGGCAGCUUACUACACAAUCAUUGACGCUGAGGCACGAAAGCGUGGGGAUCAAACA